GGCAACUCGAGCUCCGGUCAGGAUGAUUGAGGUUGUCUGGGGAAGAAAGUCUGCGUGAAGUGCAACACCGAUGACACCAUCGGGGACCUUAAGAAACCGAUCGCAGCUCAAACUAGCACUGGUUGGAACAAGAUUGCUCUUAAGGAGUGGUACACAAUUUUUAAGGACCACGUGUCUCUGAGGGACUAUGAAAUCCAUGAUGGGAUGAACCUGGAGCUUUAUUACCAAUAGAGCAGAAUUCCUUUCCCCCUGACUUAUCCUCUUGUCCCAUGCUCACCUCUCACACUGGUAUGGAUAUUUGUUUUUAAAAACUCACAUUAAUAAAGUCUUAGAUACUGAAAAAAAAUAAUGAAAAUGAAUGAUCUGAGAGGAAAGCAAUGUA
rnacentral:lncRNA from 1 species